GAUACUAGGUGUAGGAGGUAUCGACCCCUCCUGUGCCGGAGUUAACGCAAUAAGUAUCCCGCCUGGGAAGUACGAUCGCAAGAUUAAAACUCAAAGGAAUUGACGGGGGCCCGCACAAGCGGUGGAGUAUGUGGUUUAAUUCGACGCAACGCGAAGAACCUUACCAAGCCUUGACAUUGAUCGCAAUCCAUAGAAAUAUGGAGUUCUUCUUCGGAAGACGAGAAAACAGGUGGUGCAUGGCUGUCGUCAG
rnacentral:rRNA from 1 species